UUAUUAUAAUACUGAUAAAAUGGCCAUAUUGCCUACUGUAAAUCUACUACCCAAAGGUAUCUCCUUAUCUGUUUCUGAAAUAAAUGUCUACUAACAAAAAUGUUCUCUCUCCCUUGUAGCAUGUUCCAAUUGCUGAUGGAAGUGGAAACAUUGCUCCUCACCCCCACUACUGCUCAACUACGCAUAUGGACAGCCAAACUCUACCCACUCACUCUGUUCUUUUUCUUUCUCUCCUAAUCUAGACUAUCUUCUCUAUGGGACGCUGCUGUAAUCUCUCCACCCGGUCUACCCGUAGAAACCCUCUGCCAAUUGCACCCACCGCCACCGCACUGCCGUACACUUACUCUACCUCAUACCCUAUGCUAGCAUUUAUAUACAAUAUAUAAUAUUGCCACCAUCAACAUGUUUCUCUGUUCCUACUCCCCUUACCCCUGUAACAGUAAACCUUUGAGCACAGUGUAUACCCACUAAACUGGUCUUGUUUGUAUCAUGUAUUUACCACCGGAUGUCUGUAUAUAUAUUAUGUACACCUACCAAAUGCAGGAUAUGUACAACACCUGUUGUUUCCCAUCCCCUUCUGCCACACAACCCUCCCCCCAUCCCCCCUUCCUAUCUCCACCCGGCCGACCUCAAGCAGAUGGGUCCCCCCUUAUGUGCCGUGGUUCUGCUUAAGGUUCCUUCCUGACUAACAGGGAGUUUUUUUCUUGCCCGUGUUGCCAAUGUGCUUGCACUAAGGGGGUUCAGGCUCUGGGCUCUGUAAAGCACCUAGAGACAAUUGUAUUGUUAUGGCGCUAUAUAAAUAAAAUUGAAUUGAAUUGAAUUGGGUAAGCUCAGUUGAAAGGAUAGAGCGCCAUUGUCUGAGACAGAGAUGGUGUGAUAUUGGCAAGAGUCUGCACUCCCUACUAACCUGUUAUCUAUCAGAAAAUAGUCAAUACGGGUGUAAAUAUGAUGGACACUGGAGAAGAAGAAGCCUUUUUUAUUGGGAUAUUUAAAUUUCCAAAUGUCUGAAAGACCAGAUUGUGCACAGAAACCAUUGAUGACCUUGGCUGAUUUGGUGAGAGCCUGAGGUCUAGCUGAGGAUAUGUCUAGUGUGGAGUUGAGCACACAAUUCAAAUUGCCUCCUAUUAUCAAGUUGUAAUUGUUACGGGCAGGUAUGGCAGAAAAGAGUUUUGUAAAAAAGUUGUGGUCAUCAAAAUUUGGGGCAUAAACAUUGACAAGAAUUACAGGAAGAUGGAAUAACUGGCCAAUGACAAUAACGUAUCUCCCAUUGGUGUCAGCAAUCACCUCUUCUGCUUAAAAUGCGAUAUCUUUGUGUAUAAGGAUUGCGCCCCCUCUGGCUUUGACGUUAAACUGUGAGUGGUACAGUUGUCCAACCCAUCUUCUUUUAAGAUAACUGACAGCAUCCGUUUUUAAAUGAGUUUCCUGUAUAAAUGCAAUAUCUGCCUUUAGCUGCUGGAGAUAGGAUACUAUUUUCUGUCUUUUCACUGGAUUAUUUAGUCCUUUUGCAUUGUAUAAAAUAGGGUGAUAUUUGAAUUGAAUGAAACCCAAAAGGACUGUAUUACUGGUAAAUGAAAUAGGUGACAAUCGCCACAGGUCUGUCCGGUUAGAACUAGAAUGAUGCCAAUGUCCCAAUGAUGACAGAUGUAAUGAAGUAUUUAUUGCACACACUCAAGCCUUGAAUGGCAGGAUGAACAUGAAUGAUGGUGAAAGUAAUCCGUGUAAAGGAUUGACAGUAUAUUGACAAUGAUGAUGAACUGUGACUAUAAUUAUCCGGUGUAAAGGGACUUAUAUUCACACCUGACUCCGUGAACUGAAUGAUAGAAUCCGUGUAAUGAAUGCUAGAAUUAUCCGUGUAAAGGACUUCUAACACACAUGAAUCCUUGAAUGACCGUGAUUGAGUUGAAGACCAUGAACCGUGGUUUCUAUGGAAAUAAUAUAUAACAAAUAUACACAAAUAUUAACAAUGAAAUAAGAUAGAGAUGAAACAGUAUAUACACUGAAUAUUACGGCUAUGAUAUAAAUACGGAUCUGUCCCUUAACCAGCGUUAUGGUGAACAUUCCGCUCCUCUGUUAACAACGGUAACUCUUGCUUAAUGGUAACAGAGUGAAACAUGACAAGACAGUAUAAUUACCACACUACAUAAACAUACAUAUAGUAUAUACACUGAUAUGAACAGAACUGCUACAUUACACAUACAACAACGAAACACUCACUCUUUCAUUGACGCACGGCAAAUGAUAGCGAAUGUCUCUGAAUGAAUUGACCUGACGAACUGCUUGAAGCUCCUCUCCAACUCCGCUUACUUGACCCACAAAUGGCCAUGAGGAGGGUCGGCCUUAUAUGGUGGAGAGGGGGAGUGAAAACAAGUCCAGGCUAGCUCUGAGAAACCCAGCAUGGGGUUAACCAUCUGGUCAGUGAAAUUCCACUGUGCACGAGCCCCACGGACUCCUGGGAUGAACUGAUAGGCUGACCUCUGCCUGGACCCCAGGUCCCGUGGUCGCUUGCACAGUGGGGUGCACAGCUGGAGGCAACUGGUGAGACAGCCCUUUUUAACACAUUGAGUGAAACAAACUGUAUGGAACGAUGCUGAAUGUUAACUCUAGAUGUCAUUUUGUCUAGCACAGGAAAUGAGGUUUGAGAUCAAUUGAGAGCUAUGGGAAGCCAUAGUGAAAUGAGAUGAUGGCGAGGGGUGAGGGUAAUGCACAGAGAGGAGGGAGGGGGGGAAAAUAAAAAUAAAAAGGCUGGACUGGAAAACUUGCUUUAGCAAGCACGAAGAGCACGUGCUACCUAUUCUUACAGUCUACACUCUAUACUCUGUUAUUACAGAAAAUAUGUUUUUCAUUAAAAGGGUUUGUGCACAACGCAGUCAACAGAAAUAACACCUUUUAAGAGUAGCAGAAACAGUAACAGGAACAGUUUGCUAUAAUAUAGCCUAAUUACUAAGACAUAGUAUAUAAAAAAAAAGUCUAUUUGCCCUCUUAAAAUAUAUAGUACAACAUAUGAAGGGCAAAAAGCGGGCUUUUUCAGGCAUCUGUACAUAAAACAAAAUUAAAUGACCAAAAUGACAUCACAACGACACAGUAGGCAACCAAACUUGGCAUUGAACUAGAGCAUUUUCUUAACUUAACUUCUUAACUCCAACAGGGCCUUUUAUGGAUCACAAAUCAAGGUAAAAAGAAGAAUGUCCAUUUAUAAUCAAAGUUGGCUAAUAUGAAGUCACAUGGAGUGGGCUACGUUUAGAGAUCGCAUAAUAAGAUGCAUCUGGAGCAAGCUUACUCACCAACGCGAAGUAGAUAGCCUACCCAUGUUAUGUUUCAGCCUGUGUGGAAGUAUCCAAGCCCUGUUUGCCUGUACGUCUUUUCACAAACAAGACAGCGUCGUCGGGUGAGAGAAAGAUAUGCCUAUCCUGUCUGUCCUUGUCGGUAACCUGGAGCUUGGCAGGAAACAGCAUCCUGUAGUUGAAUCCAGCAUUUUUAAGUUGCAACUUCACUGGGAUGAAUGCAGAUCUCUUCCUGGAGAUUUCAGCGCUGAAGUCCGGGAAAAAAGGAAUUUGUGAACCGCGAAAAGAAACAGAGGUGGCCUCUCUUGCUAGCUUCAGAAUGCGUUCCUUGGUCUGGAAGUGGUGAAUUCGCACGAUGAGGGGACGUGGCCUGGAGUCUGCUGGAUUCUUCCUGACCAUGGCAAUCUGGUGAGCCCUGUCAGCGAUCGUUGAGGUGGGGAAAGCUUCCAUACUAGGGAUGCACCGAUACCGAUACCAGUAUCGGUAUCGAUACCAGUAUCGGUGCCGAUACUUCGUUAAAAUACUCGUACUCGCUUUUGAAUUGCCGAUACCAAGCACCGAUACCACUCAUCAGUAUUUCACUGCAUCAAACUGGCCGGGCUAUGCUGACACAAAAUGUGAUUUAUUGUCCUACCUGUCCUACCACUCUCUGCCAGACUAGUAAGUAGCUUAUUUGCCGUCUUGCGUUGCAUUUGCUUGAUGUUUGACUGUGUUAGGAAAGUUUGUCAUAGUGUCAAAGUAUUUCAGUAUACAGGUUUCGCUAAAUUUAGCCGCUAGCAUCUCGUUAGCGAUUAGCAAUUCUGUUGUGCUGCCUUAACGGCGAUUUGGGCUCAUUUUAAGAUAAAUGACGACGACAGGAGUAAGGCACAGUGUAAGAGCUGCACUGCUACGGUGUCGAGGGGCGGAAAGGAAAGUACUUUGUUUAACACAAGCAAUUUGAUUAAACAUCUGAAGACAUGCCAUAGUGCUAAGUACACAGAGUUCACUGAUGCUAGUGGCGCAAGACCGAAGCAACCAAUCUUAACUGACGUCUUGCAAAAGAAAAAAACGCGCACGCACACACAGAGAGAGGUAGAGAGAAAGACUGUUCCACAUAGGUUAAGUGAUUGUUUGUGUACUUGAGCAGGAGAUUCUUCUGAUCCUUUUGUAACUGAAAUGUGCUAAUCCAGUAAUAGUUCUGUUCACUUUUUGUUAAGCAGACUGUGUUGUUAACUAUGCAGCAAAUUGAAUUGCCUUUAUCUGGUUAUAUUUGCAUUUUGUCUAAUGUGAUGAUAUUGUCUGUUUGAAGGCUUUUUUUGUGUGUUAAAACCAGAAAGCUCUGUUCAUUUUUGGCUUGGGAUAGCCUUCUGUUAAUUUUGUACUAUAGGCUUGACAUAAUCUGCAGAGGAUAAAAUAAGAUCUGCCUCCAAAUGAAUUGCACUUUCAUGGAGACCAAAUCUAAGAAGUAUCGGUAUCGGUACUCGGUAUCGGCAAGUACACAAAUAAAAAUACUCGUACCGGUUUGUAAAAAAAGUGGUAUCGGUGCAUCCCUAUUCCACACCAAAUGUUUCUCUCAGUAGUGUGUCAAUGAAUGAAGUUGGAUGCAGUCCCUCAACUUUUUCAGGCAGUCCUAUUAUGUGAAUAUUGUUUCGCCUGGAACGGUUUUCUAGAUCAUCCAGUUUAACUUUCAGCUCUUCGUUGUCUUUAGAGAGUGCUGCACAAGUGGAUUCAAGUCUCUCAAGUCUUGUAUGCAUGUCGUUAUGCGAGGUUUCCAACUGUUGAAUGGUUUCGUGGUGUUGGUCGAUAAUGGCUCUCUCAGCCGACAGUUGAGCAGAAAGUUUCGCUAUAAUGCGUUCCUCCAUGGACGUUAGCAAUCUCUCCAUAUCUGGCAGGGUUAGCAGAUUGUUAGCCUCAGAGUCCGGUUGUUCCACUAGCUUAUCUGUGUCAGUUUGUUUUGCGUCUUUAACUUGUUGGUCUGCCGUUUGGCCUGUUUUUCUACUCAUCUUUUUCAUAUUCUCAGCUAAAGUCAGCGUUAGCACCAGUUUUGUAUGGAAUUAGACGGAUAUAACAAGAAUUUUGACCAAAUGUGAACAGAGUAUUCCCGGCUUGCGACCUACUCCGCCAUGCGUCAGACCGGAACCUUCAAACCAACUAUUGACACUAAAAAUGCAAAAGUACAAGAACAGUUUAUAGAGUGCACAAGUCGUCUACGGCCUGUACUGAAAGCAUAAAGUUCAUGGUCUUGACCAUCGCUGAAUGCCGCUUCUCUGCCACAGCUGUCCUCGCCAGCUCCGCCAUCGUCUGGCCAUAUAUAGAAUAUUUAUCUGGGGAUGCCAUGCCCUCAAGUGACAGCACAGCCCGUCUGCGCUCCGCCAAUUCCGAAAUCCUCCCAUUGUGGAGGUCAUCCUGCUCCCCCUUCCGUUUCCUCUUUUUCCCUGUGUGGGACAGAGGAGAUGGUGGAAUCAUGGAGGCUGGAGGGGUGGACGGGUUGAAUGCAGCCGGUAAACUGUGCCAGGGUGAAGCUGUCCAGGUUGCCUCGACGAAGGCCUCGGGUGAGGGGAUGGUUGCCUCGAUGAAGGCCUCAGGUGAGGGGAUGGAUGGCUGGAGGGAGGCCUCGGGUGACGAGGAGGUGGAUGGCUGGAGGGAGACCGCAGGUGACGAG
ensembl:lncRNA